rnacentral:sRNA from 1 species
UGUACAAUUGAAUAGCUGCUUCCUCCUGG